GUUUGUCCAAAUGAAAGACAGAGACUUGAUAUAAAAAAUAUAUUUCUUCUCUCUUUCAAAUUUCAUUUCCACCUCGUCAAGCUUCUUUCUUUAGCAGAAAAGUUUGUGGUGUAGAGAUGGGUAUUAACAGUUCAGGGUACUUUAUCCACCUUCCAGUUAACAACAUUUGCAGGGUACUUUAUCGUUACGAGGAUGAUCAAGUGCUGCUAUCGUUUAUUUAGUCGCAAACAAAGUUGGGUGUUUAUGAUUCUAGAGAUGGUACUUUUAUGACUGUAGAAAUUCAAAAGAACUAUAGUUUCCCGAGUCUAGAAGUCUACCAAGAGACUUUGAUAUCACCUAUUCUUAAUAGUAAUCCAGCCUAACUGUAGCUAUUUUGUUAUGUAUUGUUGUUAAAAAUAUUUAUUGUUCAAGGAAAUUCACAGCAUGAGAAAGUGGUGUGUUAGUUUGAUUUAUUUGAUGGUUAUAAUUUUUUGGUUUUCUGGAUUGGAAUUAGAUGUUAUGCCCAAUCACUUAUAUGUUUGUUAAAAUGUACGUCGAUUUCUCCAAAAUUUCAUUAUUGUGCUACAAAACCGUACUGUUGUUGGGAUGCCUGAAACAAUGUGAAUUAAGCUGUAUGUUAGUUCUGAUCUGAUAUAUUUUUGCAAAAAGAAAAGAGCUGC
rnacentral:lncRNA from 1 species